UACGAAGGGGGCUAGCGUUGUUCGGAAUCACUGGGCGUAAAGGGCGCGUAGGCGGCUGUUCAAGUCGGGGGUGAAAUCCUGUGGCUCAACCACAGAAUGGCCUUCGAUACUGGACGGCUAGAGACCGGAAGAGGUGAGUGGAACUGCGAGUGUAGAGGUGAAAUUCGUAGAUAUUCGCAAGAACACCAGUGGCGAAGGCGGCUCACUGGUCCGGUUCUGACGCUGAGGCGCGAAAGCGUGGGGAGCAAACAGG
rnacentral:rRNA from 1 species